rnacentral:rRNA from 1 species
ACUACGGGUGGCAGCAGUGGGGGAUAUUGCACAAUGGGGGGAACCCUGAUGCAGCGACGCCGCGUGGGUGAAGAAGCGCCUCGGCGCGUAAAGCCCUGUCAGCAGGGAAGAAAAUGACGGUACCUGAAGAAGAAGCCCCGGCUAACUACGUGCCAGCAGCCGCGGUAAUACGUAGGGGGCAAGCGUUAUCCGGAUUUACUGGGUGUAAAGGGGGCGCAGACGGCGAUGCAAGCCAGGAGUGAAAGCCCGGGGCCCAACCCCGGGACUGCUCUUGGAACUGCAUGGCUGGAGUGCAGGAGGGGCAGGCGGAAUUCCUGGUGUAGCGGUGAAAUGCGUAGAUAUCAGGAGGAACACCGGUGGCGAAGGCGGCCUGCUGGACUGCAACUGACGUUGAGGCCCGAAAGCGUGGGGAGCAAACAGGAUUAGAUACCCCAGUAGUC